CCUACGGGAUGCAGCAGUGGGGAAUAUUGCACAAUGGGGGAAACCCUGAUGCAGCGACGCCGCGUGAGUGAAGAAGUAAUUCGUUACUUAAAGCUCUAUCAGCAGGGAAGAAACACUGACCUUACGGUCAGCAGACGGUACCUGAGUAAGAAGCCCCGGCUAACUACGUGCCAGCAGCCGCGGUAAAACGUAGGGGGCAAGCGUUAUCCGGAUUUAUUGGGUGUAAAGGGAGCGUAGCGGGUGUGCCGAGUCUGGAGUGAAAUGCCGCGGCUUAACUGCGGAACUGCUGUGGAAACUGGCGAACUAGAGUGCGGGAGGGGUAAGCGGAAUUCGUAGUGUAGCGGUGAAAUGCGUAGAUAUUAGGAAGAACACCGAUGGCGAAGGCAGCUUACUGGACCGUAACUGACGUUGAGGCUCGAGAGCGUGGGGAGCAAACAGGAUUAGAUACCCCUGUAGUC
rnacentral:rRNA from 1 species